GAGGAGAGUGAGGAGUUUUAGCUAGCCGCAGAUGUCAAGUGACGCAACGUGAAUUUUUCUACAGAUCCGUCAGAAAGCAUCUGGUUUAUUUUGGCGAGGACGCUCCCUGAAUUCAUUUUCUUCAUCAGUUUGGAGAAAAAUCACAUCAUCUUAUUUUACAAAACGUUUUUAAUUUUGAUGCAAAGAUUUAUACCUCCAAUGAGGCGUGGUGGUGCAUACAUCGGCGCCACGCUGUCUCAACGAUUAAAAAUAAAAAUCCGAGGCUUGUAAACAGACGGCUCAGCGGCGUGUUCAGACAGAUCCUUUUAUUCUAUUUUGAGGGCGUUUGUUUUAAAUAUACAACGGUUACUGAGUCACGGGAGCACCGCGGACAAACCGCUGAAGGUGGGGCUUAUUAAAUGUAAUUAUCUGUACGUGAAGCAGUCCUGUAAUACAGCUUAAACUCUCAUUAUAGAUAAUCAUAUGUUCUUUUAGAGGUUUUAUUUUACAGUUCAGAUCUGAAGGUUUAUUUUCUACCUGCUUUAAAUGUGUAAACGCUGCGAUCAAAGUUCAAUUUAUCGAGUUUUCCCCUCAUGAACAAACAAAUAAAUACAUUUAGAUCGAAGAUGUCCCACACUGGGAUAUUUUCUCUGAUCCCAUCAGUUUACUUCUCUGUAACCCGACAUCGACACACCGUGAGAAAAGUGCGCUCUGAUGUGGAUCCUGUUCAUACGAAUAAAACCAACAGGAACUGUUCGGAGCCGGUUUAAUCGGUCCCACAGGUCGGCCCGCAUAUUUCUCAGGUAUUACAAUUCAGCAGAAAGCUUUGAUUUGACAGCUUUGACAUCGUGCAGAAUAACCAGCUGCUGUCAAAGAAGACGCCAAUGUCACAAGGAUAAUAGGAUCGUAGUAACGUGCCCAAACCGUGAAAAUAAGGGUCCUCUGGGGCGUCAGUACCUGCUCUCACUCAUCCAAACAGAAAAUUCAGGGUUUACUCACAUUUUGCAGAGUUGGUUCGAGUCGAGUGAAUGCAAACAUGUCUGAAAAGAAUUAUUCUGUUUUCAAAAAUAUCCUUUUCACACCAGCAUCUUUAUCUCCAAAUGACUUGAAGCCCCCGUGACUUCUUCAGAUGUUGACCAUCUGUUUUAAAAUUAUCUGAAUUUAUUUAUUUGUGAACUUCUCUGCUCCUCUUAAAUUCUUGACUGUAUUCUGUCUCUCCAUCAUGUAAUAGAUAUUAUGACGUGUGCUGCUGACCUUACCGCCGUGUCAGCUUUGUGAAAAAGAUCUGAUUAAUGCGAUAAAUGGAAAUAUAUCCUGACAGUCACCUGGAGCAGUCCGGGGUUCAGAGGACACUUUCACGUCUUACUAACGACUCUACCACUGAGCCACCACCGCCGCCCCAAUAACUAAUCAAUAUUUUCUAUGUGCGUGCAAUGAAAACAAGAUAGAUCUUUAAUUCAAGAUUAUUCCACCUCGUCAAAAAUAAAGAUGAACUUCACCUUUAAUUCAAGCUCGUUUUACUUUUGCCAAGUUUUUCUAACGAUCCUCCUCCACCCAUCAUCUCAUCGUCUUUCCUGUUUGGAUGUUCAAACGCUGCAAAUGCAGAAUAAUUGACUCUGUUUUAACUGCUUCUGUUUUUCAUUCAGCUCAGAGAGUUCAUUCCAGAGCUUCUGUCUCAGCGUUCCCAUCUGUCUUUACCUCGUUUAAAUUCUGCCGUCGUAAAUCAUCGGAGUGCAAACUUGGCCUAAACCCAGCCGGUGUAAUUAUGUCAAAGAAAUUUAAUCUCCGGCUCACAGCGUGAACUAACUAGUCGGUUAGGUUUCAAGAAAAAAAGUUUGAUCUUUGGGGUUAAAAUAGUUCCUACUGUCAUGUAGGAUUAUGUAAAUACUUCACAUCUCCAGAUUAACUCCAUAUAUCAUCGCACACCAACGAGAGGACUCUACCGCUCUUUUUGAAAUUUAACCAAAAAAUGGACGUUAAUGUCGGAGUGUGAGUUUAUCUGUAGGGUCAGUGUCAUCUGGAAACCUCUGAUCAUCUGUUUUAAUUUAAUUUAAUGUGCUCUUAAUCCAAUUCAAAUCUGUACCAUGACCGUCCAUAUCUGUAAUUUGUGAUAAUGUAGAAGUGCUAAAUACUGCAGUUCCCUGAGUGUCCACUUGGGGCCGGCUGCAGAAGUAUCAUAGACCACAUACACAUUCAGUCAAAAAGUCAAUUUUUAUAAACAAAGUUUUUGACGACAUUUAGGGUCUAAACUCAGCUGGAUUAUUGUGACACACAGAGUUAAAAUCAUCGGUACUGACAGAUCCAUGUCAACCAUUAAAUAUCAUAAUAAAAACAACAAUAAAAACUAACAUUGUUAUUUUUUUUCCAUCACUUACUGGAUAUAAAACAGUGGGCUACAACAUGUGCAUGUGUAUUCUUGGCUGUGCAUGUCUAAAGUAAUGAUAGAAAUUUUCUGUUAGUUGUUUUAUGUUGUUUUAAUGUGUUUUUGUUUUAUUAAAGGGAUAUUCCGGCAUAAAACUAAUUUAGGGUCAAACACAUCGUAACACCGUAGACCCCCCUCCAGAGAUGAAUGUUGUCGACCGCUUGCUUCUCUAGUUAUACCAACUUUAGUAACGACCGCAGGAUAGCAAUACACAGCAGAUGUUCUUCCUUGAGCUGCUUCACCCCGCUGUAGUCCCUAACGGACUGGCCUGAGGUCUCUCUACGAACAAGCGGCUGCUGGAAGAGAGUAGGUGAGUUGUGUUCAGUCUCUUUGCUAAAGAAAUGAGUCAAAGUUAAAAAGAUGUUUGGUGUCUAGUACUAUGUCUGUGACCCUAUAUGUCCUGUUGAUGAAGUUAGGUGCUGUUCUGAGCAUUAUUUGUGGCUAUAGAGUGGCGUUUUGGUUGGGGGCGUGUCUCUCUAUAUUGCUAUCCUGCGGUCGUUACUAAAGUUGGUAUAACUAGAGAAGCAAGCGGUCGGCAACAUUCAUCUCUGGAGGGGGGGUCUAACUCGGUGUUACGGUGUGUUUGACCCUAAAUUAAUUUUAUGCCAGACUAUCCCUUUAACUAAUGUGAUUAAACGGAUGACAUGCUUUGCAAAAUGAGGUGAGAAACAUUUUCUUACCUUCGCCUGGACUGCAGAGACCUGGUUGCUUUUUUUGAGCUCGAGUUGAUUUCUUUCUCGUUGAUACUGAUGCAUAAGUUUUAUUUGACUAUCAUGGCCUGUAGAUAAAAUAAUAAACCUGUCAAGUGCAGACUUUUACUCAGGGCGUGGUCCUUCUUCAUGCAGAAGCUUCUUUGCUCUCCUGUCUUACAUCACUCUGUUGUUCAUCAUAAUAUGCAAAUCAGACAUGAUUAGACAAACAGGGAGAUUAUGACUGUUUAAUUACACAGCAUAAAGAAGGACACAGCUGUGGUUACGUCUAUUUUUGGGGAAAUGUGUUUGAAGGAGUUUGUCUGACUUUUGAAUGGGGUUCAUGUAAUUUUUAAUAAUCCAGACUCAGAUUAAAGGACUGAAGCCUGAAGCUCGGUAAAAAAGCAAAAACCUGAAAAACCACUUGAAUUUUUCCGAUUGUAAUUCAUGUUUGCGUUUGUGAUGUGAGUAAACAAAGACCGAACAAAGACGACUCUGCAAAUGAAAACAGAGAGCUUAUAAAGUCAAAGAAGAAGAAAAGGAGGAGCGUUUCGUUUUGUUGUUUUUUUUUGAGGGAAAGAAAAGACCGUCGAUUUGUCACAUUCCUCCCCGUCUCUCUCGCUCUCUCUCUCUCUCUCUCUCUCUCUCUCUCUCUCUCUCUCUCUCUCUCUCUCUCUCUUUCUCUCUCUUUAGCGCUGAAGGCUUGUUUUUAAGCCGAGGGCAGGUGAGGACAAAGUUUACAGCUGAAGCAGGUGAACGCCCUCCACAUCUCUGCUCACGAGACCGUAAAAGAAAUGAACCGGUAUGAUUUUUCUGCCUGCUCACUUAUUACUUUAUUCGACACACGUUCAAGGAGAAAACACGACCUCUGGAAACUCUCCUGUAACUUUAAAUCAAAGUUCGUAGACGUCUUAAAUAGUAAAACAUGUUUGGUACAGUGUCGAAUCAAACAGGUAAGUGACACACGGUGACUCAGAGGAAUAAAACGCGUCCUGGUGUUCAGGAAUUGCUCUUGCCUAAAUUCUGUGUUGGCUCAUGUUCGACGGAGACACGUGCCGCCCAGGCUCAGAGCUCAUUGUAUGUGUCAUAACCACAGAUCGCCGUUUAAGGAUGAUAAAAGAUUCAGAAGUUGAUUAACGUGUCGGUUUGGUCCUGCAGGUAAAAUAUUCCUCCCAGUCAUGGUGGACGCCAUCUUUGGGACCGUAGCGCUGUCCCAAAGACGGCUUCGUACAAUCAGUGAAAAAUCCGACAAAACUACCCGCCUCUCUGCAGAGUCCCUCAUGGCGAUAAAGAGCUGUGAGGAUUCCCACUUCUGUAUUUUAGGAUGAGUUAACAAUGAAGAAACUUUUCCCAAUUAGAGCGAAGAUAAGUGCAAGAUCAGUCGAUUAAGAGAUGUGAUUAUGAAACUUUCUAGACGGUCGUUUAAACUAAACUUUAGACAGAAUCUGUUUGAGGAGACGGUGACAUUUCCACGGUGCAGAAACCGACAGUUAGUGCUUCAGAGUUUCACGAAAAACCAGCUAAUGGAAGUGAGAGUUCACUGUCCGGUCGGUGUUGGGCGUAGCUGCAAAGAUCUUUGUCUUAUUUCUUAAGAAAAAUCCUGUUUACUGCAUAAUUAGUAAAAGUUUCAUCACAGGAUUGCAUAAGUUUUCUGCAGAAAUGA